UUUCAGCAUCUUUGUAAAUUAUGGAAUUUCCCUACAGUAUAUACAAUUUACAAAAGAAUCUGACAGUUAAAACAGCUCAAGUGAAUUUUAUUUUGACCGCAGUGACAAGCCUAAAGAAUAGACAUCAUGAACAAAGAGAGCAGUGAAAGGGAAAAAAUAAAUUGCAUCAGAAAGAAAAAUAACAGACUUAAAUGGACAAAGAGGAAGAGAAACAAUUUCCAUCCUUAAGAUAUCAUAGCAUUAGAGUUUAUUUUGCUUUAAUUUUAUCUGUUUCUACUAUAUUCAGUCUCCGUACAUUGCUUGUUACUUAAAAAAUUUGCAGAAGAAACUUUUUAACAAAACAUAUGCUUUCUUCUUUUCUAGCGUACCUGCUUUCUUGUCCAUUAGUUACCUCUUUUUUUUUUAAUCUACAAUUUAUGCAAUUUAUGGAACAGAAAAACAACGAAACAAAGUGAACUAACAUAUAUCUGAUCACAAAAAAAGAAAGAGAAUAUAAUGCCACAUUUAGAGAGAAAAGAAUGAUUGAGAAAAGGGAAAAAGACUUCAAACUACAUUUAUAACACUUUGAUUUGAGUUGUGGAGGUAAAACAUUGUUUUCACUACAAUGCUUGAAUUCUUAUCCUGUUUGUAGGGGCAUUAUAAAAAUUUAAAGUAUUCCUUAUAUGACAUAACGUUACAUGAAAACAAUAAAUGUUAUAAAUAUAUAUAUAUAUAUAUAUAUGUGUGUGUGUGU